UUGGCUUCUUUUGUUUCCAUUUGGGCCUAGUGGGCUUUCGCACCUCUGUUGAAUCCGCAUCUCCUCGAACGUGGAAGCGUGUCUGUUUGCAGUUGGCGAUGAUGGUGGGAGCGGCAGCUUGCGAUGCCAUCUUGGUAGUCGAUUCUGUAUCAAGGCCCUAUCGAAAUUUUGGGAUAUUUGAUCAAAUAUGCUUGUCUGGGGCGCACCGGCUUAGGUAUCAUAUGUAUGAAUGAUGCAUAUGAGAUUACAUCGAAGCAAAUUACCACGAUCUUGUUCACCCACUAAGGAUAAAGGAGUCAGUGUCUAGAGGUUAGUGAUUAGGGGCUAGAAGUUAGAUUUAGAUUAUAAAUUAAGAUUAGUUAAG
rnacentral:sRNA from 2 species